rnacentral:misc_RNA from 1 species
GAUCAUUAAAGAGUAAGGGUGCUCAGCGCCCGACCUCCAACCCUUUGUUGUUAAAACUACCUUGUUGCUUUGGCGGGACCGCUCGGUCUCGAGCCGCUGGGGAUUCGUCCCAGGCGAGCGCCCGCCAGAGUUAAACCAAACUCUUGUUAUUUAACCGGUCGUCUGAGUUAAAAUUUUGAAUAAAUCAAAACUUUCAACAACGGAUCUCUUGGUUCUCGCAUCGAUGAAGAACGCAGCGAAAUGCGAUAAGUAAUGUGAAUUGCAGAAUUCAGUGAAUCAUCGAAUCUUUGAACGCACAUUGCGCCCCUUGGUAUUCCGAGGGGCAUGCCUGUUCGAGCGUCAUUACACCACUCAAGCUAUGCUUGGUAUUGGGUGCCGUCCUUAGUUGGGCGCGCCUUAAAGACCUCGGCGAGGCCUCACCGGCUUUAGGCGUAGUAGAAUUUAUUCGAACGUCUGUCAAAGGAGAGGACUUCUGCCGACUGAAACCUUUAUUUUUCUAGGUUGACCUCGGAUCAGGUAGGGAUACCCGCUGAACUUAAGCA